AUCGAACGCUGGCGGCAGGCUUAACACAUGCAAGUCGGGCGAGUGGCGGACGGGUGAGUAACGUAUGGGGAUCGGCCUGAUGGAGGGGGAUAACUACUGGAAACGGUAGCUAAUACCGCCUACAAUCAGUUGAACCCAUAUGGGAUUAGCUUGUAGGUGGGGUAACGGCUCACCUAGGCGACGAUCCCUAGCUGGUCCGAGCGGAUGAUCAGCCACUCUGGGACUGAGACACGGCCCAGACUCCUACGGGAGGCAGCAGUGGGGAAUAUUGCACAAUGGGCGCAAGCCUGCUGCAGCCAUGCCGCGUGUAUGAAGAAGGCCUUCGGGUUGUAAAGUACUUUCAGUCGGGAGGCGUUACCGACAGAAGAAGCACCGGCUAACUCCGUGCCAGCAGCCGCGGUAAUUC
rnacentral:rRNA from 1 species